rnacentral:tRNA from 5 species
GGGCUUAUAGUUUAAUGGUAAAACAUACUGCUCAUAACGGUAGAAAUAUAGGUUCAAGUCCUAUUAAGCCUA